rnacentral:rRNA from 1 species
CCUACGGGUGGCAGCAGUGGGGAAUAUUGGACAAUGGGGGGAACCCUGAUCCAGCCAUGCCGCGUGUGUGAAGAAGGCCCUCGGGUUGUAAAGCACUUUCAGUGAGGAAGAACGCCUGGUGGUUAAUACCCAUCAGGAAAGACAUCACUCACAGAAGAAGCACCGGCUAACUCCGUGCCAGCAGCCGCGGUAAUACGGAGGGUGCGAGCGUUAAUCGGAAUUACUGGGCGUAAAGCGCGCGUAGGUGGCUUGAUAAGCCGGUUGUGAAAGCCCCGGGCUCAACCUGGGAACGGCAUCCGGAACUGUCAAGCUAGAGUGCAGGAGAGGAAGGUAGAAUUCCCGGUGUAGCGGUGAAAUGCGUAGAGAUCGGGAGGAAUACCAGUGGCGAAGGCGGCCUCCUGGACUGACACUGACACUGAGGUGCGAAAGCGUGGGUAGCAAACAGGAUUAGAUACCCUAGUAGUC